GGAGCGUUUAUCAGAGAGAAACGUUAGGUUAGAGGCGCUCUCCGUCGUCUCGUCGCUCUCCGCUCACCAAAUCACUGAAGGACGUAAUUCUGUAUUUUACUCCGUCGUCUCAUCGCUCAACGCUCACCAAAUCACUGAAGGACGUAAUUCUGUAUUUCUCUCCGAUUAGAGACGUCUGAGGGAAGAAACGACUCUAUCUCACCUCUUAAAGAAGUGCGAAGAUUUUGCCGAUGUCGGGCGGUGAACCUCCUAUACUUCUCCCACCUCCUGCGUUUUCGAUUGAAGCUGCCCUCGGUCAGGCAGAGCAACUGAUUCCUGCCCUCCGUCAUAUGGAGGGACUGAUUCCUUAUGUUCGGCAACUCCUGGCUGAAAAAGAACAGUUACGCCAACGUGUAAUGGAAUUAGAAAUGGAAAAUAAUCAUAUACGACCUCGGGUACAGGAGCUGGAAACGGAAAAUGAUCACAGGCAACAUGAUUUAGACAACGCCGUUGAGCAGCUAAACAAUGCCAUGCAGGCAGCAUUAAACUACAAAAAUUCUGCGAGAGAUGGCCGUAGUUUCUAAUAAGCUCUUUCCCCGGUAACCUUUUCCCUUCCUGUAUAUAACCAUUUCUGAACCAUUUUUAAUAAUAUCUUUGCAGCAGCAGCCCUUGCUAUCUGUGCUGCAUCAUUACUUCCUGUGAACAGA